rnacentral:rRNA from 1 species
UAAGGAAUAUUGGUCAAUGGACGCAAGUCUGAACCAGCCAUGCCGCGUGGAGGAUGACGGUCCUCUGGAUUGUAAACUUCUUUUAUUUGAGAAGAAAACCUCUGAUUAUUCGGAGCUUGACGGUACCAGAUGAAUAAGCACCGGCUAACUCCGUGCCAGCAGCCGCGGUAAUACGGAGGGUGCAAGCGUUAUCCGGAUUCACUGGGUUUAAAGGGUGCGUAGGCGGAUAGGUAAGUCCGUGGUGAAAUCUCUCGACUUAAUCGGGAAACUGCCAUGGAUACUAUUUAUCUUGAAUGUUGUGGAGGUUAACGGAAAAUGUCAUGUAGCGGUGAAAUGCUUAGAUAUGACAUGGAACACCAAUUGCGAAGGCAGUUAAAUACACAAAUAUUGACGCUGAUGCACAAAAGCGUGGGGAUCAAAC